rnacentral:rRNA from 1 species
GACGAACGCUGGCGGCGUACUUAACACAUGCAAGUCGAACGGAAAGGCCCUGCUUUUGUGGGGUGCUCGAGUGGCGAACGGGUGAGUAACACGUGAGUAACCUGCCCUUGACUUUUGGAUAACUUCAGGAAACUGGGGCUAAUACCGGAUAGGAGCUCCUGCUGCAUGGUGGGGGUUGGAAAGUUUCGGCGGUUGGGGAUGGACUCGCGGCUUAUCAGCUUGUUGGUGGGGUAGUGGCUUACCAAGGCUUUGACGGGUAGCCGGCCUGAGAGGGUGACCGGCCACAUUGGGACUGAGAUACGGCCCAGACUCCUACGGGAGGCAGCAGUGGGGAAUAUUGCACAAUGGGCGGAAGCCUGAUGCAGCAACGCCGCGUGCGGGAUGACGGCCUUCGGGUUGUAAACCGCUUUCGCCUGUGACGAAGCGUGAGUGACGGUAAUGGGUAAAGAAGCACCGGCUAACUACGUG